CACUGGACCCAUAUAAUCAACUUAUUCUCCAAAAAAGAGAACCAAAACAACUUUUUCAUCCAGAGGAAAAAACUUUUCUGGUUUAUCUCAAUUGUGUUUUUUCCCCUUUGAAGAAGAUGUCGAUCAAACCUAGAGAACUUGUAAUCUUGUUCAACAUCAUGGGUGAUACGGGAAAAAGCGUUAAAGGCGGAAACAAGUAGAUGCAUGAGGUAGAUAUAGAUCCUCGUAUUCACUAGUAUUCUUUUGAUAGUAUUGGGUUGAGGCAUUUCCUUAUAGGAUCGCAUUUCCAUAGGGCUAUGAGUCUCCAGAAUUCCAGUAUUCUUUCGAUUGGUAUUUACAAGAUCUUCAGCAUAAUAUUACUGUGAAGAUUGAAGACAUUGUCCGCAAAGAUAUUAGUAAUCCUUUGUUAUUCAGCCCCAAUUUUAUGAAGUGGAAGUGGAAGUGGAAAUGGGGAGGGUACUGGUGUUGGUGGUAGUGAUAAUGUUGCAAGUGGUGGUGAUGGUAAUAAAGGUGGUUGUGGUAAUGUCGCAAGUGGUGGUAGUGCAGGUAAUGGUGCUGAAAUAAUGGGUGAUCCAGAUCCCAUGAAGGAGGAUGAGCAGAGACGGAAUAAGGGAAAAUCUCCCACGGAAGAUGAUGAGCCAUUUGAUCCUCCUUAUAUAUGAGAUUGUAAAUCCGCAUGUUGACAAUGCAACCUUGGCGUGAUGAUAAGCCAAUGAAUUUCCCCAUGCUUGAUGCUUUGUGCCCAACAGUAGCCGAACUCGGUCGUCGGAUCUUUGCAUCCAGGAAUCCUCUAGUCGCUGAGCUAGAGGAUCAACCACAUGUUCCAAAUAAUGAUCCACCUAGCCAUGUUGUUCCCACCGGACCAAAUACUGCAGUUUAGACAACAGGAAAUCAUCCCCAAGUUCCAGCAGAGCUCAAUCAGAGACACCAGCUCGAGUAACCAUAAGCCGUACUCGAAUGUAAGUCAGGGCAUUCAAAUCAAUACUCAACAUCGUGCUUAAGGUAAAGUUAGUGACCCAACUGGCUCUCCUAUUGUGCUUUGAUGUUGAGUGUGUUGGCUGAUGGUUUGAGUCAGGGCUAAGGUUGGUGUUAUUGGUUUUAAGACUUUGAUAUUUUGGAUGUUUAAAGUUAGACAUAGAUUGAUGUAAGGAAGUUAUGUUGACAAGUCUUUUGAAAAUGGUCUGAAAUAUAAACUAAAAUUUGAUGUUUGUGUUGAACCAGUGAUUGUUGAUGUUGGGU